UACGUAGGUGGCAAGCGUUGUCCGGAUUUACUGGGCGUAAAGAGCGCGCAGGCGGUCAGAUAAGUCGAAUGUGAAAGCCCCGGGCUCAACCUGGGAAUUGCAUUCGAGACUGAAUAGCUAGGGUACGGUAGAGGGAAGUGGAAUUUCCGGUGUAGCGGUGAAAUGCGUAGAUAUCGGAAGGAACAUCAGUGGCGAAAGCGACUUCCUGGACCAGUACCGACGUUCAGGCACGAAAGCGUGGGGAGCAAACAGG
rnacentral:rRNA from 1 species